rnacentral:rRNA from 1 species
GGCCUAACACAUGCAAGUCGAACGCUGUAGCAAUACAGAGUGGCAGACGGGUGAGUAACGCGUGGGAACGUACCCUUCGGUCUGGAAUAACCCAGGGAAACUUGGGCUAAUACCGGAUACGUGCGAGAGCAGAAAGAUUUAUCGCCGAAGGAUCGGCCCGCGUCCGAUUAGCUAGUUGGUGAGGUAAGGGCUCACCAAGGCGACAAUCGGUAGCUGGCCUGAGAGGAUGAUCAGCCACACUGGGACUGAGACACGGCCCAGACUCCUACGGGAGGCAGCAGUGGGGAAUAUUGGACAAUGGGCGAAAGCCUGAUCCAGCCAUGCCGCGUGAGUGUUAAGGCCCUAGGGUUGUAAAGCUC